rnacentral:tRNA from 1 species
GGGGCUGUGGCGCAGUUGGGAGCGCGUCUGACUGGCAGUCAGAAGGUCAGGAGUUCAAGUCUCCUCAGCUCCA